ACGGGGUGCAGCAGGCGCGAAAACUCCGCAAUACACGAAAGUGUGACGGGGGGACCCCAAGUGCUCUCGCGCAAGCGAGUGCUUUUGUGAAGUGUAAAUAGCUUUACGAAUAAGAGCUGGGUAAGACCGGUGCCAGCCGCCGCGGUAACACCGGCAGCUCGAGUGGUGAUCAUUAUUAUUGGGCCUAAAGCGUCCGUAGCCUGUUUGAUAAGUCCUUGGGCAAAUCCUGCCGCUUAACGGUAGGAAUUCUGAGGAUACUGUCAGACUUGAGGCCGAGAGAGGUCGGAGGUACUCCUGGGGUAGCGGUGAAAUGCUAUAAUCCUAGGGGGACCACCAGUGGCGAAAGCGUCCGACCAGAGCGGGCCUGACGGUAAGGGACGAAAGCCAGGGGCGCGAACGGGAUUAGAUACCCCGGUAGUCCUGGCCGUAAACGCUGUGGGCUAGGUGUUGCAUGCUCUACGAGGGCGUGCAGUGCCGAAGAGAAGUUGAUAAGCCUACCGCCUGGGAAGUACUAUCGCAAGAUAGAAACUUAAAGGAAUUGGCGGGGGAGCACCACAAGGGGUGAAGUCUGCGGUUUAAUUGGAUUCAACGCCGGAAAUCUCACUGGAAGCGACGGCAGUAUGAUGGCCAAGCUGAUGACUUUGCUUGACGAGCCGAGAGGAG
rnacentral:rRNA from 1 species